rnacentral:rRNA from 1 species
UACGGAAGGGGGCUAGCGUUGUUCGGAAUUAUCUGGGCGUAAAGGGCGCGUAGGCGGUCCUGAUCGUCGGAUGUGAAAGGCCUGGGCUCAACCUGGGAAUGGCAUCCGAUACGGCGGGACUGGAGUGUGGGAGAGGUUGGUGGAAUUCCCAGUGUAGAGGUGAAAUUCGUAGAUAUUGGGAAGAACACCGGUGGCGAAGGCGGCCAACUGGACCACAACUGACGCUGAGGCGCGAAAGCGUGGGGAGCAAACAGG